GUGAAUCAUCGAAUUUUUGAACGCAAAUUGCGCUUCCUAGCAUUCCGGGAAGUAUGCCUGUUUGAGGGUCAGUAUUAACAAAAAAAUCGGUUUGGUUGCAAAUUGUGGCGUUUCCAGAGGUCGGGCUAUCUUAACUUUUUUGGUUAAGGGGCUUAAAAUUGACCUUUUUUGUGCAUUUUUAGAUGAAUAUAAAUUUUUUUUUUUUUUGUCUCUUCUUAAUGCUAA
rnacentral:misc_RNA from 1 species